ACACUCGCAGGCGCGCGUGCGCACGCCCGCGCGCCUCCAGCCGCGGAGUCUCCAGCGCCCCUCAGCAGAUCCCCGCUCUCCCGGGCGCCGCUACUCACACAGGCUUCCAGCCGCCACGGGGCGUCCUCUGUCUGCUGCAGCGGCGGCGGCAGCAGAGGGAACGGCGACUGCAGCCCGGCCGCGUCUCCCAGCUCCGUGCCCGGGACAGAGUCCGGGAGAAGCAAAGGAGGAGGAGGACGCCGAGGCUAGGAGGAGCCGCGCCGCGCCCGGCGCCCCACUCCGCGCAGCGGGUUGCCUCCGCUCCCCAUACGGCGGCCCCAGGUCCUUUGCUGCCAGCAUGAUGUCGUAUUUAUAAUAUGUGGAGGAGAGAGAGCUCACCAUGCUCAGGUAAAGGGAUGGUAUGUGCACCACAAAUAACAAGCAGGUUGGUUGUCACCAUAUGGGAAGGGAUGUAGUUUAAUUAUACCUCUGGCAUCAUUCUCUAAUGUGUGUCUUAGUUAUAUCUGGGGUUCAGAGGGCCUGUGGCAGAAGAUCUCUGAACUAACAUGCAUUUGGGGAGCAUUUACAAAGUACCUGUGACAGGGCCUCUGUAAACAGCCAGCAAGGAAAUAGGACUGGUCACUUGAAAUCUCUUUCCAACUUCUAUAGAGUUUUCAUAAAGGUACUACCAUUGUUCAUCUUUAUCACCUUAUCAUGAAGCCUUUAUCUUUUCAACACUUAUGUAAAUACAUGAAUAUUGAAGACUUCUAAUUAAAGUCUUAUCUCUGUCCCCUUAUCUAAAGUUAUCCUUCUAAAUUUCCUUUGCAUUUUCUUUAGAAAUAAGUACAUGUCUCACAACUUUGAUUUGCCCAAACAGGUCACUUGAGAUUAAUUUUCCAUUAACCUUUAUUGCUUCUGUUUCUUUCUAAUCACCUUCUUAGAGGAUUAAACAGUCCCCAUUGGGUUAGUCUCUCCUUAGGAUAUGAGCUAUCUUUUUCUUUGAUGCCCUUUAUAGAACUGACGUGGAUGACAGUGAUCUAUAUCAUCCAGUGACCAAACCUGGACCCAUUAACUGAGCCAAAGCUUCCAUAGAUAGACCCACAUUAGGAGUUCUGAUGACCAUGGUAAUUUUGUUAUUGGACUUGCUUAUUUUGUGACCCAGUCUGUAUUAGUCUCAUCUGACUGCCUUAACAAAGCACCACAAACUGGCUGGUUUAUACAAUAGAAAUUUAUUGUUUCACAGUUCUGGAUUCUAGAAGUCCAAAGUCCAGGUGUCAGCAGGGUUGCUUCCUUCUAGGCCGUGAGGGAGAAUCUGUCGCAGGCCUUUCUUCUACCUUCUGGCAGCCUCAGGCAUUCCUUGACUUAUAGAUGGCAUUCUCCCUGUGUCUUUACACUGUCUUCCCUACAUGUGUGUCUGUGUCUAUGUCCAGGUUUCCUUUUUGUAAGGACACCAGUCAUAUUGGAUUAGGGUUCACCCUAAUGACCUUAUCUUAACUCGAUCAUCUGCAAGGACUCUAUUUCUAAAAAUGUCACAUUCAUAUGUAUGAGAGAUUUGGAUUGCAGCAUCUUUUUGGGGUACACAAUUCAGCCAAUAGCACUAUAGGGGUACAGGCAUACCUCAAUUUAUUUCACUUGGUUUUAUUGAGCUUUGCAGAUACUAUGUUUUUUUACAAAUUGAAGGUUUGUGGCAACCCUGCAUCCAGCAAGUCUAUCAGCAUCAUUUUUCCAACAGCACAUGCUUACACUGUGUUCCUGUAUCAACAUUGUUUUAGCAAUAAAGGAUUUCUAAAUUAAGGUGUGUUCAUUUUUAGAUAUAAUGCUAUUGCACAAUUAAUAGAGUAUAGUAUAGUGUAAACAUAACUUUAUACGCACUGGCAAACCAAAAAGUUUGUGUGGAACCGAGCCUGUAAUAUAUUCAAGGCAUGCCUGAAGUGAAUUCCUCUAGAUAACCCUAAAGCAUCUAGUAUGGUGCCUGCUGCUUAAUAUUUGUUGAAUUAGCGAAUGGCAAGGACUAUAAAGGCCAUGGCCAAAUUUAAUUUGACAAAGCAAAGUGCAGUGACCAGAGGUGGGCAGGUAUUACGCUGGCAUUUGUCCUCAGGGAGCUCUUGCCUUCAGUUUAGUCCAGGCUAAACAACCUCAUAAAUGAGAUAAGAGUUUUCCUUUAAAAUUAGUAGCAGAUGGGGUUUUUAUAAAAUAUAGCCCUUUGUGUGAGCCGGUACUGCUGUCUGUGUUGGCAUCGCAGGUUGAACUGCCAAUUUACAUGCCGCCUCUAUCAGUAUAUCAAGAUAUCUUUCCAGCUAAUUCAAUACCGUUUAAAUCAUACUUAGCCAGGCUAUUCUUUCUUUCCAGCUGCAUCUCUUUGCACUUAUUAAAUUUAACAUUCUCUUCUCUGGCUUUAAUCUCUAAAUGCUAUCCUGAAAUAGAUCUGCCCUAAUCGCGUCUUCUUCCUUCUUUAUGCAUCCUUAACUCAACAUUAUUACAAGUUAUCUUUUGAGUGUUCAGAUUUGGGUGUUGAUAAAUUAUUAGGAUACUGGUCUCAAGGUAGCACUUAAAUGAUCUGUUCUUUAGAGUUGCUUAUUUGGGAAACCCUUUAUUUCCUCUUGGGGUAGUGCUUUCUAGCCAUGUCUACUGUUACUUCCAGGAAAGGAUUACCUUUUUAAUAGCAAAAGGGAGCCUCCUGCUGAGAAGAGUGAAAGUCCAGGGUCAGAUCUCCUCCUAGGAGUGAGGUAGGCAUCUUUAGGAGCCCUGCAAAUUCACUUAAGCCCCUGGAUUAGUGCUGUGUGGAGCUGCUGUAAGCAGGCAGACCAGUGUCUAGAGAUUGACUGUGUGGGUCAGGCCCAGGCCUCCAGGAAGGUGGAAUCAUUUACUUACAAGCUUUUCCAGCCCCGCAGGAGAUUUUGUGUUCCUGGGGGUGGGGCUGCAGGCUGUCCUAUGGCCAACUGAUAGCAUUGGCUUAGACAGCAGUGGAUUUAUAAGAUGAUGACAGGCAGUAGAAAAUGAAAAUGAAAGUAGAAAUUCAUUUUAGCAUUUUUCUGACAUUAGUCCUAAGAAAAUUGGUAAAUCAAACAGCAAAUAUUUAUGGCAUGUGUGAUGCAUGCAGGCAGAGUUCCACCAAAUACCAAAUAUAGAUGUAUAACUUCAUCCUGUGUCUCCAUUGCUUACUUUUCUUUUCCAUUUUAUGCAAGAGCUUACUACCCUUGAUUAGAGGUCUCCCAUAACUUUUCACAUGAACUCUCCUAGUGUGGCUUGUGGGCAUGUCUAUAGGUUUCAUUAAAAUUGAAACAGUUAAUUUGUUUUGGUUAUACAGUGAUCAAACAGAGUGAUGGUGGGCCAGCCCUUGCUGGCUGCAGGUAGGGCCUGGUGAGCAAUUAUAUUCUAGUAAUUCAGCUGUCCCAAAAUAGCCAGUGAAGUACUCUACAGUGUGUGCUACAACAAUUAUAACAUCCCAAUAAGUCUUAUUUUAAUAAUUAACUUAUGUGUAUCUAACACUUCUCUAUUAUUAAGGAGAAAAUAACCCAGAAAUAAAACCUCAGGUGCCUUGAACAUGGAAAACAAGUUUUAUUGUUGUUGCUUUGUCUUUACUCCAUUUUGCAUUCUCUAAUUUCACAUUUCUGAAAACUCAGCUAUAAGAUUCUCAUGGACUUGAUAAUAAUUUGCUAACUUGUUAAACUCUGAUUUUAAAAAAAGGCAAAUGAGAAAAAUGAUUCUUAUGUCUUUUUAGUUAAUAAUUAACAUGGUAAGUUUUUCUUAGAUCUCUGACAUUAGAAUGUAAUUAUUAUAUUAUGGAAAGUAUAUUAAUUAAACAAAUUAUACUUCAAAAUUCUAUCAACAUUUUUCAGAAAAUUUUUGUACACAAAUCAGUUAAAAUAGGAAUCUUAAUGUCUGCUUUCUGUAGGAUCUUCUGCCUCUCCCUCUGAUGGGUCCAUCUUUGCUUCAUUUAAAUCAUGAGUUUAUGUUAAGUGCUUAUGAGCUGGUAAUAUAAAAAUGAGGAAGAAGAGCAGUGGCUUUUGGCAGGGAACUCAGAAGCUUGGAAUUCUCUUUCAUCUACAUUUAGUUACCACUAAACUCUGUCAAAUUUCUGUAAUUCUUUCAUAUUUUUACUUUCCUUUUUUUAAAUCUACGAUUAUCCUUUCCAAGCAUUUCUUACCUUUUUCUUGCUUGUUCAUAUGACCACUCUGUUUUGUUUGUUCAUUCGUUUGUUCAUUCAUUCAUUCAUGUAGUACCCUUUGGACGUGUGCCAAAAAUUGUUCUGGGCAUAGUAUCAAGUAUAUUAUAAUUUAUGUGGGAGAAAGCAAUGAUUUUUGCAUGACUAUGAUGGAGCUAUAAAACUAAGUAUACCUUUUAUAUAGGAAACAGAGCAACUAAACUGGCUUGGGACAAUUAGGAAAUACUUUAUAGAGAAGAUUGUAUUUGAAUGGAAAUUGGUAGGAGAUGAGUGGUAGAGAGAGAACAUUCUAAAUGAAACAGAGGGGAGAUUAGCAGAGUGGUAUGAGGGGGCAGGGCAUGUUUCUGUAUUCCAUGCUGUUUAGGUACUGCUGGAGCAUAAAGUGUGAAGAGGGAUAUAGGGCUGGAUGAGACUCUAUAGGAAGGCAGAAAUCAAAUCUUGAAGGUCCUUUGACACAUUGUUGAAGCUUCUUUUGUAUGUCUUCAGUUCAUCCUGCUCCUUGCAGGGAGAAUGGCUGUGUGAAAGAGUGCUUAUAUCCUGCCAAACUCUUCCUUUAUGACCUUUGUCCUGGUCUCACUGCUUCACCCUUGUCCUGGUCUCACUGCUUCCAAAGGGAAGUCAAGCUCUCUUUAAUUUACUCCAUUGAAUCAUUUACUCUACUAGAUUUGCCUGCUUUGCUUUUCACACAGAAUUGGUUACUUUGCUCUCUUAGAUUCCAUUUUCAAAAUCCUUCCCUCCUUUAAGACCUCACUGAAAUUCAUAUCCUUUAUGAAAACUUUUCUCUACUCAUGAAUGAUUUUAUCCCUUGUGAAUUCCAGAACUUUGAAUAGAUGCUGCAUAUUGCAAUUUUCGCAUGCUUCUCAUAUAUCACAAGUUAUUUUUAUAACAUUCUUAGACUAUCCACAUGUUGAAGGGAAGGGCCAUAUACCUAUCUUGUAUCCUAUUUAUGCUGGAAGUGCAGCUUCUUGCAUUUAUUAAUAGUAGACAUUGCAUGGAUGUUUGUUAAAACGGUAGAGGAAAACAGAGUUCCUUUAAUUUGAAAGGCUGCUACAGAGGUAGAACUGAGGGAUUGAUUAAUUGUCAUCUGGAAGGGGUAGUAGUUAACAUAAUGUCCAGAUGAAACUCUUAGAGGGAAGAAUAAUUGUCAGUGAAGGUAGAAGGAUUACAUUAAACAAAAGUCAGAAAUAUGUACAGAAAAGAGAUGCAGUUUGAAAAUCAGUUAAACUGCCCAAAGGUUUAGACAUGGGAAGAAGAUACUUAGAAAGCCAUUCAGCAUGUGUGAUUGUCUUUGACAGUGAGUGACAAAUGGAAUAACAGGGAAAAGCACCUAUAUUGCAUGGAGAUGCUCUGCAUUAUUAAAUAAAAUGGCCUCUGGAAAACUUGAUUCAAUUUAAGACUUCUCAGUUGCAGAUCUGGAGACAAUCACAAAUUCAGAAAUAUAUUUAUGAAACUCUGUUGCCACUGAGCUCAAAAGACCGUAAUCCUAUUACUUGUGAUUUUGAAAAGGGUAAACAUGAAAAACUGAAAAGAGUUAUUGAUUAAAGAAGUAAUAUGAACAGGAAUAAUGGAAUUAAAGUAAUUGAGGCAAUAUCGGGCCUAAUGGACCUUGUUCUCUUAAUGCCUUUCUUCUGCUUUUGUAUUGAGUUGGCCCCAAAGUCGAUAGGACUAUGUGCACAGAAAGAGAAGGACAUGAUGGAAGAAUUAGUAUUGCUGUCUAUAAAAAAAAAUCAAUCUGUUGUUCUUGCAGAAGAACAUCAAUCAGUCUGUGAAAUUAAUUAACUGGAUUUUUUUACAUUUGGCUUCUAAGAUAAUGAGACAAAUGAUGAGAAAAGACUGCAUGCCUUGCAUAUAGUAGAUACUCGGUAAAUGUUUCUUGAAUUGAAAACCAAAUGAUAUCACAGAUUUAGUUUAAAAACUACUUCACUGUAAGUCCUUUUAUCAGUCCUAAUUCAGUCCCGUUUCUUUUACUGGGCUGCCUGUAUCUAUAGUACUGUAAAUGUAGAUCCCUCAUUUUUAUUGAUUCUUGCUCUGAAGUGAGUUCUCUCACAUUUUUACUGCCAAGGAAUCCAGGCCAGCUUCACAUGACUUUGGAUCUCUGUAUUAUUUAGUGUCUUAACUGUUUUCUGUGACCAGACUUCCUGCCCUAUACAGUAUUGGCAGAUUACAUUUUUUGAAAUAUCAUUUUAACAACAUUACUCUUUAUUCAGAAAACAUCAAUGUCUCUUUGUUGUCUACAAAAUUGUGGGCUCAUUGUACUUUAGAGUUCAUUCCCUACUACUUGGGUUUGAAAGCAUCUGUGUUCAGACUUGUCCAGACACCCGUCUAUACUUAACUUCCACCGGCCUCCUACCCAGACCCUAUGGGGAAGACAGAUUCGUCUCUUCAUUCUGUCAUCCCAUUUUGCAACGCGCACAGUAUUCUGCAUCAAAUCCUCUCAUAUCUAUAUCCAUCCAAUUAAAGUCAGUUCUGCUCCAGGCAAUAUAGUCCUUAAAACUGCACAUUAUCAAAACCUGUGCUAUAAAGACAAUUAUUUCAGUGGCAUAAAUAGUGUUGGAGACUUGAGAGUUGCAGGGGCACAAUAAACAAAGUUGUUUUACCUGAAGUUAUUUAAGUAAUAAUGGUAUUUUCUAUCUCUGUAAAAGUAUAACUUUAAAACCUGAACAUCACGAAAAAAUGCAUUUUAUUGUAUCUCUUUUUAUAAGAUGGUAGUGAACUAAGCUGGUAUUUUAAAAAAUUGUUUCAACAUCUUAAUGAUCCACUAUUGUGAGAAAUGGAGAAUAAAGACCUUAAAACAGCUGUGUUGUAAGCAGAAGAGCUUUUUUUUCCCUUAUGCCAGGAGCCCUAGUCUGCAUAAAAUAAAUUGUAUUCCCCAAUCAAUUGAUCACUUUAUACCUAAUACACAUUAUGCAAACUCUGCAGAAGAAAUGUCUGUAACACUUAUUUUUCAAAAUGGAGUUUAAGGUCCUUUUUGCUCCAGUGAGUUUGCCUUUUACCAUUCUUCCUUGCCUGGUGAUUUUUCUCUCUGAAUACUCUCUUUUAGGUUAAUUAUCAAUUUAAGGACCUCUUUAAUUGUUCAUCUUUUUCAGAAGUUUUAGAGACUGUUUUGAAAUAGAGACAUAUUUUUAUUUCCCACAAUGUCCAAUAUAUCGUUAGGGCAAUGAUAUACUAGUUUAUAAGAGCAUGCGAUUAUUAAAUUUAGUUUCAUCUAAAUCCAAAAAUUGCUAUUUUCUCUAUUUCCUGUUCCUCUUGAAUGUUGGGCCUUGGCUUAAUGUUUUUGAGGGAACAAAAAAGAGUAAUCCCCAUUUCAAUGUCAAUGCAAAAGGAUAAAGACUGACUGAUCAUUUUCAGAUUAAGGAUAAAUACAUGUGUUAGUUCCUGACCCUUCUUGAAACUUCAUUAAAAUGAUGUUUAAGGGAUUUUUAUUUUAAAAGGCACACACCGAUGAGAGCAAAGAAAUAGGGCAACAGUUACAGCACUUUGGGAUUUGGGAUAUAGAUGGAUGACUGCUAACUUACUUAGCAGACCUGAGAAAGUGAAAUUUUAAUCUAGCAGAGGAGAAAGGAAAAAGGUAAGCCAAAUUAUACUGAUGAACACUGCAAAAACUCAGGAACAAGAACCCCUGGAAGGGAGAGUGGAGAUACAGUUGAGAAGUAUUGGUUGAAAGUUCAGAUCUGCUUCCUAACUUUAUACAAGAAGGAAACUGCUCCUCCACUCCAACAGAGGGAUGAAGAUUAUGUUUUCUAUAGAGUUGGUAAAACAGAAGGUUUCUGGAUUGAGAAGUAUCAGGAAAGGUUAAAAGUGGUAUAAUAUGGUCCUGAAAUGUGGUAGAUUGUGGAUUACACUGAUUUACCAAAUCCCAAGAAUGACAAUACCUUCUGUUCUCUGCUCCUUAGCCUACAGGCAGCUAAGGAUACCUUUCCUGCAGGAAACUCCAGGAAACAUCCCUGGGACUCUAACCUAAAAAUAGAACUCAAGGAUACUGAUAUCAGGGAUUCCCUCAAGGAAGGGCCUAGCCAGAACAAUUCUAAAAUAAAUCCUAUAUCAACAACCACACUCCCAACCUUUCUGUGGACCUUCUAGUGCUCGGCCCUUAAAUAUCUCAGACAGCCAAGGAUCGUGAGACAUUUAAGGAAAUGUCUAAUAUCAUGAGAGAAAAAAACUAAAGCAUGCAAACAAAAAAAGCAACUUGGAGGAAACAACCUUAAUAGGAAGAAGAAAAUUUUUUUUUUUUUUACACAGGGUUUCACUCUGUCGUCCAGGCUGGAGUACAGUGGCGUGAUCUCGGCUCACCACAACCUCUGCCUCCCAGGCUCAAGCGAUUCUCCCACCUCAGCCUCCCUAGUAGCUGGGAUUACAGGCGCGUGCCACUACCACCUGGCUAAUUUUUAUAUUUUUAGUGGAGAUGGGGUUUCACCAUGUUGGCCAGGCUGGUCUUGAACUCCUUGCCUCAAAUGAUCCACCUGCCUCUGCCCCCCAAAAUGCUGGGAUUAUAGGUGUGAGCCACAGUGCCCGGCCAGAAGAAUAAAUCUGAAAAAAGAAAUCAUCAGUAUCUCCAGACAGAUAAGGCAUGAUAUUAUAACCAUGAAACACAACAGAAUUUAUAAGGGUUAGGAGGUGAAAUUAAGGAAAUUUUCAAGAAAGUGUAGUAAAAAGAGAAAGAAUAGAAAAUAACGUAGAAAAAAUAAGAAGCUUAGAGGAUUGGUUCUUACAUCCAAAAAUAGUACACCAGAUUCAGAGAACAUAAAAAAUGGAGGACAGAAAACCAUCAAAGGAAUAAUUCACCAAAAUUUCUCAAAAACAGAAGUUUCCUGAUUAAAAGGGAAUAACAACAGAUGAUCAUGAAACUUUACAACACUAGAAUGUGGUCCAAUAAAUGAUAUGGUAAACUAAUAAAAAGAAAGACCUGGUAUCCCAGAGAUAGGACCAACACAAGAGCGAGGCGAAAAGAAUUCACAGGUGAUGGUAAAAGAGAUCUCAACAGCUGUGCACUGGACUAGUGAUCAACUGAUCUAAAUUGCAGUAGGUAGAGGGAUUCAGGAGAGAGUUCUUCAAGAUGGUAAAAUUGAUUAAACACCUAAUGUGUUUGCUCUGAGAGGAGAUUUACAGAUCUUGGGGAGGCUUUGGGGAUAGCAUCAUGAUAAGUACAUAGGAAACUAACGCAAAUUAAAUAUAACAAUGAUUAAUUCCAAGGAAGACAAAAAGGCAGAAAAUGAGAUAUAAUCAUAGAACACUACAUGAUUCUAAGGAUGUAAAUAUGGAUAUUUAACACAACCAGAAUUAUUCUGAGAGGAUGGGAACAUGAGGCAUGCGUGUGUGUGAUAAAAAACCUAACCCUCAUCUUCCUCAUUGGGAGGUCAAUCAAUAAUACCUGAAAUCAAAAAACUAAGAAGUAGUAAGAGAAACAUGUUAUUUAAAUCAGUGCAUAUAAAUUUUUGUCUUUAGUAUGACAAGCAUAGAAACUGAUACUAAAUAAUGUAGGAAGCUGGAGACAUUCAUUUGUAGAAUAUUAAGUAGAUAUAAAACUUCAAAUAACAUAUUUUCAGAUUUUUUCAAUGAAAAACCUGAGCUUGCUUUCAUAAACAUAACUUUUUAUAUUUCUUAUAUGCCUGAAAUGGCUGAACACAAUUCUUGAUCAAUAUCUUAAUGAUUCUCUCUUCAAAUUCUUUUUAGUCAUUGUCAGUGAGAUACUACACAAGUAGUGAUUUUUAAAAAAACAAGCCAUUUCACCACCGUUUCAUAUUCUAUAAAAGUUAAAGUUAUCUUUAAAAACAUUAAUAGUUUUAGCUUUUUUCUUUGCUAGACAAAUGCAAUCCUCUGAUAAUUCCAACAGAUUUCAAAUUCAACUAAUUUUUUUCCUAUCAAGUAAUUAAAAUAAUAAUGAGGCCCGAAUUUAUAAACUGUGUGUUUAUUGUUAGAGCAGUCACUCCAUAGGUAGCCUGGAUGCCAGUAAAAGACGAUAUUUGACUCAACUGGAAAGAAAUGUCUGGUAUGUAUAGACAGAAUUUUUGGGGCUGUCCCUUGUAGCUUUGCCUACCAGGCGCUUCUGCCCACACCUUUCUAGAGCUCCACUUUCAACCAGCUGUGCCUUCUAUACCUGGAAUGAAACCUCCUCCAGCAGCUACAUGGACUGCUUCUGCACAAAGUGAAGGGGUGCUUUCUGCAGCAGCCUGUUGACAUGGGUGUCCAUGGAUGUUUCUAGUGCCUCUCAGCAGAGCCAUGAGGACCAUGCCUUUAUACCUUGAGGAAGCUGAUGGCCAGGUGUUAUCUGCCCAGAGGCACCUGCUACCUCAGAACCCCACCUGAUUCCCUGAGGCUGAGAGACAUCCAUACCUCAUUGCAUACCUGGAAUCAAUUCUUUGCACAAUAGUGAGCCAACACCUACUGAUUUCCACAUGUGGAAACAAAUCUAAAAUAAUUACUUAAAGAAUUGAAAGCAGUUAUCUCUGGGCCUAGUCCUAUGUAACAGUUGAGACUAUAUUAUGAAUAAAUUGGUUUAAAUACAUACUAAUGUUUAAAAAUCUCUUGUGUAGUCUUAUUGGAUCUUCCAGACCUUUUGCCCUCUCAAAAGAUUGGACAGAGCCGCUUUCAACUUUGUUUUUAUGAGAUGAGAUGACAAAAUGUGGACUAUACAACUGUGGACUAUGGUCUACUUCUUAAAUGCAGAGGCUAUUUAGUUUGUGGAUUAUCCACAUGCCAUAUUUUACCCCAAGGAUUAAGAUAAAAGGAAUAUAAAUCUGAAGAUAGCAAGCUUCAUUUUUUAAUACAAGGAAAAAGAUAAGUUGAAAUUCAUGAUAAAUAUAGAUUGUGUUUUGAAACUUUGAUUAUUUUCCUGUUGUCCCUUUAACAUGUUCCUGGGGAAGUUUAUAAUAAUGAUUUAGGAGAAGAGGUGGGAAACUGAUAAAUUAGCUGAAAAAAAAUAGAAAGGCGCUUGAGAAUACAUAGCAGAGAACACACUUCUUUCACAGAGGGUACUGACAGCGUGGUCUAUUUGGUGCCCUCCAGAUUCAAGGCUGAAACUGGAAACAAUGGUGCUUUAAUUUGCUGCACAGCUAAUGGGCCUGCUGAUUUGUUCUCAUUUUUUAGUCCUAUAGUAUGUCCUUAAAACCCUCUCAAAGGUUUAUACUUUUAGCCAGAGGUCUCUGUGCUUCAUUUUCCCUUUUGUUCUCUAAACACUUAGGUUGCCUCUUCCCGAUUCAUCUUCUGAGAGGCUCAGCGUAAUGUAUGGUAGGAAUUGAAUAAUUUGGAUGAAGCCUGUGACAUGUCUUGAUGAUGUUAAACCACUCAGAAUCCUAGGAAAUAGUCCCAGCUUGCAUUAGCAGAAGAUUAAUGCAGGUGAUCUUUAAAGUCUUAAUUUUAAAAAAUUUACAUUUUUGCCAGUGAUGAUUGAAAAACACUGGCAUUCUUUCUGCCUGCAUUACUGAUUACAAUUGCAAAUACUUGCAAAAGUACUAGAAUGGCAUCUAACUGUUCCAUAAGGAGCAGAGAAUUAUUUUACCCUUUUAAUGGCUAUUAAAUAUUUAAAAAACAAUUUUCUAAAAAUAUAUCCAUAACUAUAUGUAACAUGGGCAUAAAUCACAAUGGGAAAUGUAUUCUGAUACACAUGCAUAAUAAAACUUGCUGGAUAAGUUUAUAUGUCUAAUUUGCCAAGAAGAAAUUUAAAUUUUUGAGAGGUUUCUUACUUGAGACAUCAUUAUGAGAAAAGGCAAAAAUAGGGGUCUUUUGGAUGAGGUCAAGACAGUGAUUACUCACAUUGUUACUACCGUUUUGCCCCAGGAUAUUCUGGAUAUGAACCCAAACCUUAAGAUCCCCGAAUCAGGAAUGGUGGAAAACCAUGGUGAACUAGUUAUUUGGAAGGUGGAAUCAAGGAAACCCACCAGCUCUUGAACUUUUCCAGAACGGGAACAUAUUAAGAGGAGAGGUAAUGAGAGCAAAGAGUUUGUCCUGCUAUCUGGAGAACAGAGAGGGUACAGUGAGCCUUGGAGAGCAAGGGAGUGUGGGGAGCGGUGGGGCAGGUUGCAGACCACAGCCAGGAAGAGGAGAAUCAAAGGAGUCAGCUGUGGACUUGUAGAACUGGGGUUGAAAUUUAAUUCAAGAAGAAACAUUUGGAACAUUUGGCAACAAGUGACAUGAUCAACAUGACAUUCGGGUAGAUGAUUGUUGCUGUGUUAUAAAAUAGCUCAGACAGGAGGAAGACAGUUGGUGCAUGCUAAGAAUGACUGCAGAAGAGUGAGAAGGAGAAGGAAUUUGACUUGAUGACAGGACUGAUAGAGAAGACAGAAGAUAAAGGUAAGUUAUAGACAGUGUAAGUCAAGGCUGGAUUGCUGCCUUGGAGAACAACUUCCAUAUUUAACAGUCCAAAAAAAACAAAAAGCAAAGUGACCAGAAGAUUAUCCAGCAAAUGUCCAAAUGCCUUGUGGAACAGGUCGGUUCUCUUCCCAGCUUAAAAAUCAUGGAAUGGUGGACAUGGAACAGUUUGCGAAACAUAGAACUUUGCUAAACCAAUCAUUUCUCUUUUGGAUGUGCUAUGACUGUAGUCCUUGCCCCACCCAUUCCCAGAAGAUCAUCCAGACACCAAUAAAUAAGGAGCGCGGUAGGAAUUAGAGGUCAAGGAAGGAGGCAUAGGUCUGGGGAUCAUCAGUGAACACAGCAGUGGGGUCUGAGUGUAUGGAUGAGCAUUCUGUGUCACAGAGUGAAGAAAGGGAGGAGCAGAGGUGUGGCAGCAAAUACUGUGAGAUACUUCAUGAAAAGGCCAAGGAACAAAAAGAAACAGAGUGGUUGGAGUGGCAUUAAACUCAUGGAAUUGUUUGAUCUAAAUUUAAGUGGAUACUUGCUUCAUUGGGGUAAACAGUCUGAUUAGUGUUUUCAGACUAUACAUAAAUGAAGGGAUAGUUCCAUCUCUCAAGACUUAGGAACCACAGAGAAUUCAGAAUAUAAAUGCAGCAAGCUGAGCCCCAAAACCUUCUGGGCUCAGCCACCAGAAAGAUUAUCAUGAGCCCCUUUUCUUUUACAAAUAAAAUUCACCCUUAUUUGUCUUAGGGUUGACUAUGGAAAUUCUUUAAAUGGAUAUCAAGAAGGAAAUCUUCCAGUAAAUUCUGCACUGCAAAGCAGUAGCAUUAUUUAAACAAAGAAUACAUUAAUUUUUACAUUGCAAUCAAGAUCAACCAGCACUUACCCAUCCACCAGAAUGCAUUAUAAUACUGAGCACUUUUUUAGUUCUACACUGAAAAUCCCUUUGAAUCCUGUAUCAGUGUUCACUAGACAGAAUCUGUCUAUCUAUACAUUAGAUACAUAAAUAUGUAUUUAUGAAGAGAUUUAUUUUAAGGAAUUGGCUAAUGCAAAUGCGGUGCUGGUAAGUCCAAAAAUCACAGGGCAGGGCAGCAGUCUGAAAACUCAGGCAAGAGUUGAUGUUAUAGCCUUGAGUAUGAAAUACGUAGGGCAAGUUAGCAGGCUAGAAACUUAGGCAGGAUGUCUAUGUUACAGUCUUGAGGGAGAGCUCCUUCUCUUGGAAACUCAGUUUUUGCUCUUAAGGCCUUCACCUGAUUAGAUGAGGCCCAUCCACAUGAUCAAGGGUAACCUCCUGUAGCUAAAGUCAACUGAUUAUAGAUGUUAAUCCCAUCUAUCAAAUACUUUUACAGUAACAUCUAAACUAGUGUUGGACUUAAGAACUGAGCACUCUAGCCCAGCCAGGUUGACUCAGAUGAUUUUGCCAUCACAAAUCUCAUAUUUUUACUAUAGUGGAAAGAGCAGAGUCAGCUGCAUUUUGCUUCAUUUCCCCAGUGUUGUAAUCUUUAUAAGGGAGUAAAGAUUCUGUUAGUGGUUCAAUGGUGGCAUUUUUACUGGCACUUUUUUUUUCUGUCAAAUUGUUAGAUAAUUUGUUUGAAAAGCUGGGCCAUGUUAGCACCUUAUCCCUGUCCCACAUGGUGCCAAAUGGUCUUGUCUUCUUUGCUUGCUAAGAAGAGUAGGUAUGGGAAAUGCAAAUUUUCAUUGAACAAGGUUAUUGACUACUCAAGUUCUGUAGUGAGUUUGCUCAGCUGACUAUGUGACAGUCACAGGGGAUAUGGGGAGUUAAUAUUUUCUGGAAAGAAUUUUAAUGUUAGAAUUUACUGUCUUUUGCACAUACAAAUUUGAAGCCUUAAUGUUAUGCUCUUUUGGUUAUUUGCAUGUAAUAUGCAUGCAAAUUCACAAUAUAUACUAUGUGCCAAGAACAUAAAUUAUAAAUUGGUACUUUCCCUGGUUGUUAGCAAUUUUGGCCGCUUUAAAAAUUAAUACUUUGAAGAAAUAUAUGUUUUCAAGUUUGUUUGUAGUAUCUUUAGUUUCCAAAGGAAAAUAUGUAGUACACUCUCAACCAGGAAGGUAGAUCUCUGCUGUAACAUUCUCUGGAUUUAAAAAGUUGUGCAUAAUGCUAAAGGUUAGAAUGUUUUUAUGUAUCUUUCCUAUGAAUGGGUUUCAAUUAGGUGUUGCAGAUGUUUGUUUCCAUUAACAAUGCUGAGAAAUACAUGUUUCUGUAGCAUGAUUGCAGCCUACUGCAGUCCAGUAUACUUGGGGGUGAGUCUUUUCAGUGAUAAACACACCUCCAGUAGCAGAGCAGCAUAUUGUACUUCCAGGUGGAAGAAGACCUGCCUGUGCUGCGCAACUGAGGGCAGGAUACUCCCAGAGAGGGACUCUGUAGCCUCUCUGCCUGCCAUUGAGGCUUGUUGCCUUGGCAACUAAAACACAGCCAUCCAUCCUUUCCCCAGGCAGGGAGCUCCAGUCAUCCUUGACUUUGCCAUGACCUUUUCUCCUCCCCUUUACAAUCUGUUUAGGGUUCUGCCAUGCAUCUCCCAGGCAGCUUUGAAUUUUCUCUCCCUUGGAAAUCUCCAGGCCACCUCCUGGUUUUGUCUUUCUCCUUUGGACCAAUGAAUGCUCAUCACCGGCAUUCCGGCUACUCAGCUUGCUUACUUCUUCCUGAGUCCAAAGCAAGGCCUCCCAGACCUUCCUGCCCACUAUGAAAGUCAGGUCAUCUUGCACUGUGAAACUCUAGAGUGCAGCAUUCUCUGCAGGGUGCAAACAUCCAUCCUCAACUUCAGUAGUCUGCUCUCACACACUAUUUGGAAUCAUUUUAAAAACUCUUCUGUCUGUGCUGUACAUCUUUCAUGACUUAGUCACCCUCCUCCACCUUACUAACCCUAUGGACCACUUUAUCCUCUAUGUUUCUAAGUUAUUUCGUCUUGUGAAAAAUCAGCCCUCUUUAAGUGGUCCAGAGCAAGGGCCCUCAGCUGACAAGUUUUAUUGGUGGCACCAUCACCACCACCAUGACAGUAAAUAUUAUCACUAACUUCUGUGCCAGCAUGUUAGCAUACUACAAGUAGCUACAGAAAAUGGGCCUGUGGACAUUGACUCAAAACUUAAGUUAGGGCCUCUGUGUUAUUGUGAAGCCUGGUCAAGGGCUCAAGUAGGGAUGAGAAUCCAUCUUGGUUCUGCUCUUCAUUUAUGUCCUUGGAGAUGGCUGGAUCUGCCAGGAUUAACCGGUGACUUCCACCCCUCCACCCCUGACUCCUGUUCCCUCCAAAAAAGUGACCUGUAGAUAGUCAAAUGGUGCUAAGGUAUAGACCUGAAGAGGCAUCAUUUUCUGAUUCACUUUUGGGCCAAGUAGGCAUUAUAUACUAAUUUGCAGCUGGGUACUUUAUAGGCUUAUAGAGGCCUUCACUUACAGAAUAGAUAUAACAAUCAAAAAGAUUCAAAGUGAAGUUUUUUUUUUUUUUUUUUUUUUUUGAGACGAAGUUUCACUCUUGUUGCCCAGGCUGCGAUGGCACGAUCUCAUCUCACCGCAACCUCCGACUCCUGGGUUCAAGUGAUUCUCCUGCCUCAGCCUCCCAGGUAACUGGGAUUACAGGCAUGUGCCACUACCCCCGGCUAAUUUUUGUAUUUUUAGUAGAGAUGGGGUUUUACUAUGUUGGUCAGGCUGGUCUCGAUCUCCUGACCUCUCAAGAGAUCUGCCCACCGUGGCCUCCCAAAGUGCUGGGAUUAUAGGUGUGAUUUUUUUUUUUAGACAGAGUCUCGCUAUGUCGCCCAGGCUGGAGUGUCGUGGUGUGCUCUCAGCUCACUGCAACCUCCGCAUCCUGGGUCCAAGCGAUUCUCCUGCCAUAGCCUCCUGAGUAGCUGGGAUUACAGGUUCCUGCCACCACACUCAGCUAAUUUUUGUAUUUUUCAGUAGAGACAGGGUUUUUCCAUGUCGGCCAGGCUGAUCUUGAACUCCUGACCUCAAGUGAUCUGCCUGCCUUGGCCUCCCAAAGUGCUGGGAUUACAGGCAAGAGCCAACAUGCCCGGCCUCAAAGUGAAGUCUUUUAUCACAAGGAGAAAGUACUAGGUAAGGAUAAUUUAAUUUUGUAACCAUUAUUGCAUCCUGGCAAAAUUUUCUGCAGUAGUUUCUUCUCCUUCCCUUCCCUCUUCAUCCCUGUUCCUCUUCUCCUCCUUCCCUCCCCCUCUUCCUUUUUCUUCCUCUUCUUCCUCCUCUUCUUCCUUUUUAGAUAAUAAUCAUAGUAGCUAAUAAAUGUAUAACAUAUUCUGACUGGCUGAGAUGCAUUUUUCCUAGGCUUGAUUGUAUCAUUGGAAACUCUAACCACAGAGGUCCCAUGUGCUGUGGGUGGAGCAGCCUUCUAACUGUCAUAGAAACACGGAAGCCACAUGCUAGAUUUACAUAGAGCUUAGGGGCUCUGAGUGUAAGAACUGGAGCUUGACUCAUUUUUGGCAUUCAGACGUGCACUGAUCUCUCUUAUAGCUUAGGAUUCCCCAAAAAAGGUUGGAUUGAGGGACGUGAUGAGGUUCCUGAACAAAAGCCAUGAGUGAAGAAGUCUGUUAACGUGGACCAGACCGACCUAUAGGAGUUUGGUUUUGUUUUGCUUUUGAGACGGAGUCUUGCGCUUGUCGCCCAGGCUGGAGUACAGUGGUGUGAUCUCAGCUCACUGCAACCUCUGCCUCCCACGUUCAAGCAAUUCUCCUGCCUCAGCCUCCCAAUUAACUGGAAUUACAGGUGCCCACCACCGUGCCUGGUUGAUUUUUGUGUUUUUAGUAGAGACGGGUUUCACCAUGUUGCCCAGGAUGGUCUCGAACUCCUGACCUCAGAUGAUCCACCCGCCUUGGCCUCCCAAAGUGCUGGGAUUACAGGAGUGAGGCCACCAUGCGCGGCCAAGCUCCUGGGUUUGAAAGUCCCAGGGGCAGUGGUUCUAGGUACCUCCCCUGACCUAAUGAGCCUCCCCUCAAUUCCCCCUACUGGCAACAGACUCCUGCUCACACAAAAAACAAGUAUACUAUGGCAUGAACGAUAGCUGUGUCAUAACGCAGGGAUCAGUGAACUAUGGCCCUUGAGGAAAAUCCAGCCUGUGGCCUGCUGGAUUGUUUAUGCAUUUUUAAAGGGUCAUAAAAAGAAAAAAAAGCAAAGAAGAAUAUGCUACAGAGACAGAUGUGGUCUUCAAAAGCUAAAAUAUUUACUAUCUGGCCCUUUAUUGGUAAAAUUUGCCAGCCCCUGCCAAGAACUGGUCAGUGAUACCUAACGGUGUUACUUUGGCAGCCCUGUUUUGAAAAAGCAAGGCUCAAGAGUGGAAAUGGCUUCCCUGAUGGUGAGGCCUUGAGGUUCCUUCCCUUCCCUCUUCACCCCAUUCUUUGUGCUGUAGAAGAAGUUGUCUUCCGUGAGAACGUUGUCAGAGGUGUUGAUGGUGACUGGUGGAUGGCAGAGUGAUGAAGGCAUGUGGAGCAGAGGAAAAGUUCAAGAGAGUAGGAGAGGAGGGUUGUCAGGUAGCAGGCCAUAAGUCUGACUGUCAGGGAAUCCUGGAGGGAGUAACUGAGGAGGGGAUCCCAGGAAAAGCUCAGACUUGUUAGUCCAUGCUUGGAGCUCAGAGGAUUGGGACUUAGGCUGUUGCCUUAAAUACAACAUAUCUGUAGCGCUAGGAGGCCAAGGGACUUUUGGUUUGCACUUGUGUUCUAUAGUUUACAAAGUCUUUCUCAUUUUGUGAGAACCCUCUGAACCAGGCAGUGUGUGUGCUACUUUUGACCUCAAUUCAUAGAGAAAAAAUGGAUUGAUGCUAUGUCAGGGAAAUGUCUUCUUCAAGGUCAUAGAGUUAUUAUAUGAUGAAGUUGGAAAUCAAAUCUAGAUACUCUGGCUCUAAAACCUGAGCACCAUUCUUGGAAUCAGUGAAUUAUCAAAGUGUGAACUCUGCACCUCUCACCCCCAACACAAAAGCCAUCUUACUAGAUAUUGUUUAUUUGUAAGUUCAUUAUAUUAACAUAUACAACACUAGAAAUGGUUAGAGUAGCUUCAGAAUUGGAUUCAUUUUAUGCCUCAGCUUAGCCCCUUCUCACACAGUAAGGCAUCUGUAGAACAAACUAACCAGGGUGUGAAGGUAAUUUGCGUUGCCCUGCAUUGUUUGCGUGUGUCUGGGAACUCUGGGUUGAGACAGAUUACUUGGAUGUUCUAGUUUUACUUUUAUAGACAACCUAUGAAAGGGGUAAUUAUGAGAUGUAAUUAUUGACACUAUGACAACCUGAAUAAAAAUUGAAGUUGUUUGUACUAUUUUCCCAUAGAUAUUAGAGCAAGACAUUACAAUAAAUGAAUUGAGUGGCCUGUUUUGUGUGUGUAUGAUUUGGAUAUCAGAGACCAUCAUUCCUACAUGAUAUGACACUUUAUUUGCCACCUUCACGCUUUGACAUUUUUGUCAUAACUAAAUGUGCAGUAGAGACAGCUGUGGUCUGCGUAGGCUCUAGCACUGUGUCUGGGUCUAACCCUGAGCAAUGCAUUUGGUUUCAGAGCCAGUGUCGCUGAUACAGGUUGCAGCCAGCACAGGGAAAUCUAUCACAGUAACAGCAAUGUAGCCGUCACAGGGAGUCUAACCACAUCCAUAUUCAGAUAAGGAGAACGCUGAGUACUCUCACUGAAAAUGAUAUGCAGGGACUCUGGGAUAAUGCUGCCUUUACACUGUUCAUAAAAUAUGGUAAAAAUAAAGCCUUAAAAGUCAUGCUUGUGAAGAGUGGAGACAGGAAAAUUAGAGUAGCAAUUCACACAGCACACUUUUCCUUGGAGUGAGAAGUCAUAUCAAUUUCUCAAAAACAGGUAUUUCACCUCUUACAGCAUCCAUAAGAAGGCUAGGUCAGCCACGAGUUAGUGGCUUAUGAACUCUCUUGGACCUUUGCUUAGCUGGCAAAUGUCAUUUCUUAGCCUUCCAUCCACCCAAAUCUGGGGUUUCUGUUUCCCCAGCUCUGCCCUCUGUGUUCUCUAUCUCAUCAUCUUAUUUUAUUUUCUUCACAGCACUUUCUACUGUUUGCAGUUAUCUAAUUUAUUAAUUGGCUGCUUAAUCUCUAUCUGUCAGCUUUGAGUUGUAAGCUGCGUGGUUGCAGAAGCUGACCAUGGCUCUCUGGUUCACUGUUGUUUUCUGUAGCCCAAAGAACAGUGUCUGGGCUGUGGUAGGUGCUCAAUAUGAAUAAAAAAGAUGAAUCAAUGAAUGAAUUGGUGAGUAAAUACAUGCUUUCCUGUUGCUUAACCCUACAGAAUAGUCCCAGUACUGGGUUAUGAUCUUUCCCUAGUGGAAGAAUCCAGAGAUUCUAUUGUUGCCCUAAUAAAUUACCACAAACCCAGUGGCUUGAACAACACAGAUGUAUAGUCUUAACAGUUCUGCAGGUCGGAAGUCCAACACAGUUCUCACUGGGCUCAAAUCAAAGUGUCAGCAUGGCUGAAGACUUUGGGGGAGAUCCAUGCUCUUGCCUUUUCCAUUUUCUACAGGUCACACACAUUCCUUGGUUGUGAUGCCUUUCUGUCUUCAAAGCCAGCAAUGGUGGGUCGAGACCUUCUCAUUCUGCCAUCUGUCUGGUUCUCUACAGCUGAAAAAGGUUCUUCGUUUUUAAGGACUGAUGUGAUUAGAUUGAGUUUACUUGGAAAAUACAGGAUAAUCUCCCAUCUCCAGGCCAUUAAUCAUAAUCACAUCUGCAAAAUCUAUUUUGCCAUAUAAGGUAACAUAUUCAUGGGUUCCAGGAAAUAGACGCUGGACAUCUUUGGGGGUUUGGUGGUAGUCAUCAUUCUGCCUGUCACAUGGAUUUAUUCACAAAGGGGGUAUAGGGAUAGUCAAGCCCAAAGCCUCAUUUCUCUUCCAGAAUGUAUAUUGCAGAACAGAGAGUCUUCCUAAGUCAUUUAUUCAUUCCACAAGAAAUAUUUGUGGAACUUGUCACAUUCUUCUUGAUAAUUUGGUUCCUGAUGGCAGAGUGAGCCUAGAUUGCUGUUUUGCAGGGUUGGAUAUGGAGACCCUGGGGAAGUUCACCUGAAUUCCUAACCAAGCCUGACAAUCAGAAAUUGGGCUUCUAACCAGAAAGGGAUCAGUGUGUCUAAAAGGGACUCAAAGCAGUUGUAGUGGUAGCAAUGGUGGUGUCAGAUACAGUAGUUUAUUUAUUUUAUUCAAUCUUUAUAAUAAUCCUACAAUAGAAGCACUAUUAUUAUCCCCAUUUUACACAUGAUGACACUAAGGCACACAAAGGUUAAAUAAAUUGCCUAAGUGACUGAGCCAGGAGUGACUGGCUAAUGAGUGAAUGAGACAGGAUUUAAAAUCUCAGGCAAUCUAGCUCUUGACUGUGUUCCCUAACCACUGCACUUCCCUGCCCCUUACAAGGUCCAUUAGAGAGUAGCCAAAGACGCCUCUGAGAGGGCCAGAAUGGGUGCUGAGACCAUCUAUUGGCCUCCUUGGUUUUGUGAAGUAGAGAGAACAUGGAAUGGUAAGAAGCUUCUGCUUCCUUGGUUACCAGAUCUGGGCCUGGAUCAAGCCACUUCAAUUCAUUGAGCCUCUGUGAAGAGAAAAUAGAAAUUUUGCUUGUCUGCAUCUCUAGUGUGGGAGAAGGAUAAAACGAUUAUUGAGACGUGCUCUGUAAACGUUGCCCGUUACUAUCUAGUGUUGUAUCCAUCUAAAUGAUGAGGCGAGAAGGGAAAGUGAGUAUGAUCACCUCAGUGCCCCAAGACUCUAUCUGGCUUUUGUCACCCUGGGGUAAACUGGAGAGCAUGAUUGAGACAUGAAAUCUUCCCAUAUCCUCUGUGAGAGAGGGUGAUUGAUGACAGGGAUUUACAGGUUAGCCUGUGACAGCAUGUAAUCAAUCAGCGCAUGAGAAGGAUAGCUUGUCUUUGGUGUACAGAUGACGAUUCUAAUAACCCAACAGUGGCCACCAGAAGGAAAAGACUCCUGCGCUUGUCUUCACUUCCUUCAUUUCAGUAGCUGCAGAGUCGUCAGGCAGUCCCAAGAAUUUCAUGUAUGAAGAUGGUAUUCCUUAGUUUUGCCCUAACUGCGUGAGCACAAGUGACAGCUGUGAGUUCUGGGCUUUAGAGGGAGGAGUAAAAAUUUACCUUGGAGUUAGCCAACAUCUGCAAACACUUAUUUAAUCAAUCAUAUAGAGCUGUCAAGAGCAGUGAGGAGUCUGAGAUUUUAACCUGCCUGUGAAGUAACAAGUUAGCCUGCCUGAUUCAUACAUGCUCGCAGAAGACACGAAACUCCUGGAUCAGACAUAAAGGAUGUUACUGCUCAAUGCACAGCAGGCAGCAUGGGCUACAAGCUCUCAUCUUGUAGAGCUUGAGGGGAACCUCCCUUGAGGGCAAUGCAGAGGGGGCCAGGUGGUUACUUCAUACCUGUUGGAUCUGUGUCACAACUGAGGAACACAGAGUUUAGGAAAUAACCAGUCUUAUAAACUGUUUCUGGCACACUUGCCCAGCCUUUGCCCUGGAGGAAGGCAUUAUCUUUGACUCUUGCCAGGAAACAAAAUUAUCCUCUGUCCUGGAGGAGGAAGACAUAAUCUUUAUCCUCCCAGGCUGUUUGCUUUACAGACAUCCUUGAAUAGUAGUCUGAGACAAAAGGUACCACAGGGUAGAGAAUUGUCACCCAAUAGAAACUAGUGCAUAAUUAGCUAAAAUAAUGACCAUAAAAGGUGUUUUUUAAAUAUGUAAAAUUUUACAAGUGAAUUUAUAUAAUCUGAAUUCUGAGAAGAACUAUUUUCUAAUUCUUUUCACUUACUGAGUUCUACUAAAUAAUUUGGAAUAGGGAUUCAACCAAACUUGUUGCUUAAAUACUCAAUUUCCAUGGAGUUCAGAACUUCCAAUGAAUUGGUGAUUAAUUGAUAUUGUAAUGAAAGAUUGUUUACAUAGAAUGUGCAAAGGGCAUAUGAUUGGUUGUCUCUUUAAUCACCUUUAGUUACAGUAGUAAAUGAAAGUAUACAUUUUGUACUUUGACAAUGGAUGAUGCCAAUUGAAUCUUAUUAAAGACUUCUGUGGCCGAGCACAGUGGCUCAUGCCUGUAAUCCCAGCACUUUGGUAGGCUCUGGUGGCAGGAUCAGUUGAGGCCAAGAAUUCUAGGCUGUGCUGGGCAAUAUAGUGAGAACUUACCUCUCUUAAAAAAAAAAUUAACUGGACAUCGUGGCAUGCACCUGUAGUUCUAGCUACUCAGAAGGAGUUUGAGAUGGGAGGAUCACUUGAGCCUCAGGUAUUAGAGACUGCCAUGAGCGAUGAUUAUGCCACCGUGCUAGUCUAGCCUGGGCACAGAGUGAAACCCUUCUCUAAAGAUAUAAAUAAAUAAAUAUUUUGGCUAAGAAAAACACACAUUUUUCUUUGAUUUCCAUCAUGAUUUUUUAGCCAAAUUCUUAAUGGGAAAACUAUUAUUUGAUACAUGUUUCUUUAUAUUUGAUUUUUAAAUUAAUUAAUUUCCAAAAUAUGUUAUCUUUAGUUAUGGUUAAUAUUACAGACCUAUCACUGCCUACCCAGUGUGUGGUCAGUGACAAAUUGAACCCAAGUAACUCGUAUAAUCUAUGAGAUAACCAAAACCCAGAUAUGUUUUUUAGGCUUAAACUUGGUAUAAGACCUGAAAGGUACUGUAAAUGUUGGAAGAGCAAGGAUCCAUGUUCUGCCUGGGUUGGUGUAGUACUGUGAAUAUGGCUUUAAAGGCAGCUGGAUCUGGAUUGAACUCCAACUCUGCCAAUUCCUAAUUCUGCAAUUUAACUAAAAUAGAUGAGCCUCAGCUUUCUUAUCUGUAAAUUGUAUAUAAUGAUUACUACAUAAUAGGAUAGUUAUGCAGUCCACAUGAAAUAAGUUAUUUGAAGCUGCUACCUUCCUUUAAAAAUGUAAAGAGAAUAUUGAAGUCAGUGCAGGACCAUUAUAAAGUUUAUUUGAUUACUUUCAGCUUGGGUGAAGCUUUAAAUUCUUAGUUAAAUUCCUUCGCUAAAGCAUUCACUUAUUGUCUAUUAUUUUUCUAGUUAUCUAGAUGCAUUGGGGAAUUAAAGUCGUCAUUUAAAAAUCAUCCCAUGGAUAUCAAAAGCUCAUAAAUUGUUAGAUGCUAAUGGGAAAGUCAAGAAUCUGCUUCAACUUAUAAUUGUAGGCGUACACAGAGCUAUCUAGGGAAAUGCAAGGGUUGCCUUAAAUUCCCAGAAUAAAAUACUUUGCAGAUUUCAAAAUAUGUCACUCACUAUAAAAUUAAUUAUUUACCAGCCACUCACAUACUAAUCAGGGUUGAAAGUAUGAAAGACCACAGGAAAGAAUGGAUGGUUACCUUUCUAUCACAAGUGCUGGUACUAAGAAAUAAUGAUAACUCACAUGUGUGUGUGAUGCCCUCAGUUUUAUGGGAAAUCGGGAACUGAAUAUUUUAAAACUAAUUACAAUUAAUUAAGAUGACUAAAAGAGCAAUGGCAGUUUGGGAUUCUAUUUUUACCAAAUUAAUCUCUCCAGUGAAAAGUAGGAGAGAUUUUAGACUUGACAAACAACUUAAAAGCUUUGCGAUAGGAAUGGAAUGAGAAAGCACAAUGAGCAGAAUAAUAUUUAGUGAAAUUAUGUACUCCUUAAAAUAAGCAGCUACUGUAUUUUGCAUGUAAAGGUAGACAUGACUGAAGAGGUAGGGAGAUGAGGAGAGGAAAGUUAAUGUGUUUCAGCAUUAACACAUGAUGGAAGAUAAAUGCCUUCUCUUGGUAUGUAAUCUUGAUUUGCUGCUACUAUGUAGAAAAUAGCACUAUAUCACAGUGCCAGCUUAUAUUGAUAUAUAUUUAUGUAUAUAUGGAUAUUUAUAUGUAUGUGCAUGUAUAUAUAUAUGUGUGUGUAUAUAUAUAUAUAUACACACACACAUACAUACAUAUACAUGCACAUACAUACAGGAUGUCUUCAGAUUAUAUAUAAAAUGUUAAGGGCUUUACUUAGUGGAGAUUGGGUUAAAUAUUUACUUCUUGCUAAGUAUUGCCAUAUGCCUAAACUUUUAAAAUAGUAGCUAUUCCAAAGGAAGAAAUCAAACUAAACAAUUGGGAAGAUAUAUCAAAUCUAGUUUCAAUUGGUGGUUCAUAGAGAUAACUGGAUAACACUGAUGUUACUUCCCUGUUGUCCAGCUCAUACUAAAUAGGCAUCUGUCAUGAAUGGCCAGGGUGCUGUGCUGGAUCUGUCAUGACUAAACUGAUCACGAUCAUUAGUCUGUCUUCUUAGUUCAUUCACAGCCAGGAGGUAGACGGUGGGGGAACACAAACACUAUGUACCUACCCUCGGUCCUUGGCAUCCAAUGUAAGAGGUGAAGUUUCUGAAUCUAACCCCUGCCCUCAAGAACCUUAUGAUACAGUAGGGGAGCUUGCACAUUUGUGCGACAGGACAGUUGUAAACAUGUAAAUCAAUAACAAUUUUUCUUUAUAAAUAAAAAAUGUUUUGAGUUAAUUUUUACAAGUAAUAUUUUUCCUACAUAAUUGUAAUUGUUUUACUUUGAAAGACAGUGAAAUGACUGUUUCUUCCUCUUAGUUUUCCACUUGUAUUUUUCCUUACAUUGGACUGUAUGAUCAUGGACACAAAUAUUAAUAUUUCAUGCCUUUCAGUACAAACAUAGCUGUAGUAUAAAUGAGGAAAGAGAAUAUCAGCUUACGUGAAGGAAGUUCAAAUUCUGAGCUCUAUUAGGCAGGAAAAUUGAUAUUCCAUUAAAUAGAGUAGUUGAGGCUAUAGCACGUUGUCUACACAAAGCUGUAGGAUCAGCAUUUUUUAGAUAGUAUCAUGGAUGAGUAGUUAAUUAAGUAAAGGAAUCCAAUCCCAGUGGGAUCUUGAGGGAAAUGAAGUCUAUACUUUCCUCUCCUUGAACAUUGGGGCAAAUUGGUCUUUGAUUCUGUUGAAGCCAUCUCUUGGGUGCUUCUGCCCUAAGUUCUGCUUCUGUUACUUUGAAAAUCCUUUUUGUUGAAAUGACCUUAGUGUCAGUGACACCUAUCAGCUAAAUUUAAUUGCUUUUCUAAAAAUACUGUCCUUUUUUCCCAAUAAUUACUUCAACUCACAGUUAGUUAAAGCAUAACAUGUUGGAAACUUUCUUGUUUAAACUCUUCCUAUUCUUCACCUUAUUGGUUAAUUUAUUUAUUACCAAUGACCAACUCAGUGUGGGUAGUAUUUUUCUCAGCUUCCAGCUCCCAGCUUUCUUUCUUGAUAUGGCUGAAUUUUGAGAUACUCAAAGCAAGCAGACCAUAAAGAGAGACAGAUAAAACUGGACCUGGGUGUUCAUAUGUGUAUGUGUGAUUGUGUGUUGGAGGGUUAUUAUCCCUUUUUAAAGAACUACUUAUAGGAUGGUGGCAGGACCUUUGAAAUUGCAGGCUGAAUUGAUUAUUAGCAUAUGUAAAUUUGGGUAAGUUAUUAAGCAACUUUCAAAGUGUUUUUGUUUUCUCUUCUGUAAAAUUAGGAUGAUAAUAAUAUCUAAUGAUCUUGUUGUAGAUUAAAUGAUGAAAAGCACCUUACAAAGUGAGUGUUACGUAGUAAGUAGUCAAUAAAUGUUAACAUGACUAUUAUCAUCAUGUUGUUUCUAUCUUGAUUAUUUGUAUUUUAUAGCUUUGUCAAACUGAAAACUUCCUUUUGUUUUGAAAUAUCUUGAUAGACGCAUGAGACUUCUUUUAAAAAAAUUUAAAAAGUGGCCCAGCUUGGUGGCUCAUGCCUGUAAUCCCAGCACUUUGGGAGGCUGAGGCAGUUGGAUCACGAGGUCAGGAGAUGCAAACCAUCCUGGCUAACACGGUGAAACCCCAUCUCUACUAAAAAACACAAAAAAUUAGCCGGACAUGGUGGCGGGUGCCUGUAGUCCCAGCUACUCGGGAGGCUGAAGGAGAAUGGUGUCAAACUGGGAGGCGGAGCUUGCAGUUAGCCAAGAUGGCGCCACUGCACUCCAGCCUGGGCGACAGAGUGAGACUCUGUCUCAAAAAAAAAAAAAAAAAAAAAAAAUUAAAAAUUAAUGUUACUCUGUUACUUUUGUGUCUCUGAUUUCAGUUGUAUUGAUUUAAAUCACACAAUUCCUUAUAGAGACUCAAGGGCCUUGGGGGCAGGAUCAUACCUUACUCUUGUAUGUAUCUCAAGAUAGGGAUAGCACUGUUUCAGAUUAGGUUCUUAACAAAUGUGGACAAAACUCUGGGGCAUGGAAUUGAGAGGCCUGGAUUUGGUUCUUGUUUCUUACCUGCUUUGGGCUUUCUUGGGUCACCUCUCUGAACCCAGGAUUUUGAGGUCCUAAAGCCAGGUUUGGAAACCAAAAAGCCUGAUGUUUGGGUUCCAGCUUUGCUGAGGGCUGUUCCAAGUUAUGUGGGGUUUCCUGAUCAGAUAUACCUUGAUGCCCCUCCAAAUCUAUAUUACUUAAAUAUUUGAUGUAUAUUUAUUUAAUGGAGGCGUGGGGGAAACAAUUUUUAGUUAAUAAAAAUGUAGUAUAGUAAUAGAUGCACUAAAUCAUUUGCUUUCUCUUUCCAAGGCAGGAUCAAUGUUCUGGAGGAAAAAUAGUGAAAGAUUGUUCUAUGUUUUACUUAAGGUUGAUUUUGCUGUAGGUUACGUGUGUGUGUGUGUGUGUAUGUGUGCGUGCGUGUGUGUGUACGUGUGUGUGUGCGCGUGUGUGUGUGCAUGUGUGUAUGUGUUCUAAAACAAGUAAUUGGGAGGCAUAUUAAAUAAUUUAAAUCUUAACAAUUAAAAUAUCUCACUUUCUUCAGUCAGUGAGCACCAGCCAUGCUUAUUUGAUUUUACAGUUUUAAUACACAGUAUUAGUGAGUUAUUCAGAGAUAGACAGGUGAUGCUGGGUAGGUACUCUUUGUGUAGGUGGGUGGAGGUGGAGGGGACACAGUCUUUUCCUAUUGAGAAUGAGAGUUAUAAAGGAUUAUAUAACAAAAUUUGAGUUGAUUGGUGCAUAUUACUCAAGUAACUACUUUAGUGCUGUAAAAUACAUUGGCCUAUUGUUGUGAGCCUGCUCCUUAUAGGUUUCUGUGUACCGAGCAUCUAGAAGAACCUGGUGAGUUGUAGGCAUGCAGAAAAUAGCAUAUUUUCUCAUGUCUGAUACACCAUGGAUUGCUGGAUGCAAUAACAGCAUUUUAGAAGAUAAAAAAGAACAGAGCCACAUUUAAUGUAGAUACUAUUUUAAGAUGUAUCUUGUUUUCAAAAAUGUUCAAAUGUGAAAAAAGCAUGCAUCCUGGAAUUGAGGAGCAGUGGAAUUAGAGAUGAUAAUGAACACCCUGAAAUUUAAUUUUUUCCUUAGAAAGAUUACAUUUUUCAAUAGGCAUAAACUUAUUACAUGGUUUCAACUACUCAAAGAUUAAAAACAGAUGCCCUUGUUAGGGAGUAUAUAAUCUACUUUUACCAUAAUAAUUUAGGGAAAAUAUUGUAAGACUAAUUUUGUAAGUUGGCCAGAAUAUGUAUUUCUUAUAUAAUAAUAUCAAGAGAACAAUAGGUAAAUAUUUUUAUUUUUAGUUUUGAGACAGAGUCUUGCUCUGUUGCCCAGGCUGGAGUGCAGUGAUGCGAUCUCAGCUCAUUGCAACAUCUACCUCCUGGGUUCAAGUGAUUCUCAUGCCUCAGCCUUCUGAGGAGUUGGGACUACAGGCACACACCACCAUGCCUGGCUAAUGUUCAUAUUUUUAGUAGAGACAGCGUUUUGCCAUGUUGGCCAGGAUAAUCUCGAACUCCUGGCCUCAAGUGAUCCACCAGCCUCGGCCUCCCAAACUGCUGGAUUACAGGCAUGAGCCACUGUGCCCGGCCAAGAUUUUUAUUUAUUGUUAAAAUAGCAUUGAAAAAAAUUCUAAGUGAAUCACAUAUACAUGUGAAGUAUGUGUUUUUUAAAACAUAAAAACCAUGUUGGCUUAGAGUCAUGAAUGCUGGUGGUCUCUUCAGUGACACCAAAAAUGCAUUAUGGGAGGGCAUAAUUGUCAACUCCAAUAAUUAAGUGCCUGCUCCUAACUGAGGCUAUCUGCAUCAGUGCCUUUUAUUUCAAUCCAGGUCUAUUGAUAAAUAGGAAUUGAAUCAGGUACUGGUGAUCUUAGACCGUCAAUGUAUCUUCAGGGCAAAACUUUUUAAGAAAAUACUAGGUUCUUAAGAGUUUUGUACAAUAAACAGUUUGUUCUCAUUAAUCAAUUUUGCCUAAUUUCCCAAUUUUUUUCUCUUAGUGAAAAGGUUUGUAUAUGUCACAGUUUUUAUUUUUUAUUUUUGAGGUGGAUUCUCACUCUGCCGCCCAGGUUGGAGUGCAGUGGCGCCGUCUCAGCUCACUGCAACCUCCGCCUCCCGGGUUCAAGCAAUUCUCCUGCCUCAGCCUCCUGAGUAGCUGGGAUUACAGGCGCCCACCAUGGCCAGCUAAUUUUUUGUGUUUUUAGUAGAGACAGGGUUUUGCCCUGUUGGCCAGGCUGGUCUCGAACUCCUGACCUCAGGUGAUCUGCCCGCCUUGGCUUCCCAAAGUGCUGAGAUUACAGGUGUGAGCCACCACGCCCGGCCUGUAUAUGUCACAUUUGUUUUGUGGUGAAAGUACUAAUAUUCAUGCCAAUUCUGUGCUGUCAUUCCCAAAAUUGUAUUAAUAUUCCUAGAAGAAAGGAAAACAAAAACAAAAUAUUUAGAUUUGUAGGAAGUUUUAAUCUGAGCCAGAAGUCUCAAAAAUUAAUCAUGUAAUGCCAUCCAUCAAAAGUGGUUUUAAAAUCCAAUAUUUAGAUAUAUUACACAUGCAUAGCAUCCUUUAUCAUCAGUUAUUUCAUCACAGUCUAAAGUUAGAUGAAUCUGUGCACUGCCCCCCACCACUCAAACACAUGCAUUAACACACACAAUUUAUAUAAACAGAUUGUGAAACAGCCUUGGAGAAUAAAAUACGUAACCAUAAAUAAAUGAAGACCCUGCAAUGCUGCUGGGAGACACAUGGAUAUUUUAAAAAUCCAGCUGUUUGGUUCUGUUACCUUUUACUAUGCACUGCACAGAUUUAAACUUUUUGGUUUGCUGGCAAGAAAGUUUACUAGGUUAGGAAUCAGUUUCUUAAAUUACAGUCUUUGCUAGAGCUCAGUGCAGUUAAGGAAACUUUCUCUGAAUUAGGGGGUCAAAUAUUACAGUUUUCGGAAAAAAAAAAACCCUAGACACUUAUGAUGAUAGUGCAAGUUAAUUCCAUUUCCUUGGGUGAGGUUUCACUAUGAGGACACAAUGUACCACUUUGGCUGAGAUGCUGUUUUCAAUAAAUAUGGAAAUUAUGGCUUCCAGUGCUGUGGCCUGGUAUGAAAUCUCAUGGGAAAUAGCUUGAUACUAUGUGAUAGAUUUGAAAUUAAUUCCUAUCCCUUCCUGAAGUAACCAACCUAUAUUUACAAGAUGUAUCAUUAUUUCUUGGCCAUCCAGAAAGAUGGGUAAAUACAGUCCUAUUUUAUAGAAUGAGGCUGCAGCAAUAAAGAUUUUCUAGUCCAUAUCCUCUUAGAGGACGAGUUGAACAAAGCAGGCUCUGCUUUUAUUUGUUGAACAAAGUGGGUUGUACUUUUGUAAGUUAGAGGUGCUCUCGGACCCUUUUCCCUUCUAUUGCUUUGGCUUUUUCUAAUGACUCCCAGCAGAAAAUUAUAAUGGGAGUCUUUCCUAUUGCCGGAUGAGGAUGGUUUUGUAAUGAUGGAUUUCAAAUUAAACCCAUAUUCUCAACUUUGUGAAAUCCUGGCAGGGUGAAGGUGAAAUGUGUCUGUCAUUUUCAAAUUAUUUGUUAGGGAACAAUUAGAGACUUAUACUGUAAAAUUUUGGGACAGCUGUUUUUAAUAGUGGGGGAGGCAUGGGCAAUGAAAAGGUAGUUUGAAAAUCUCAGUGGAUAAAGCAGAGAUAAUCAGAAUUUGUUAGAGUGCUAUUCUUUAAGUCUUGAAUUCUUUCUGGCAACUAGAUUGUCCUGAGAUCAGAACAAUCUAAUCCAUACAUGUUCUAACUUUGCCUUCUGCUGUAUCAGUAUCUGCAACUAGGAAGGACAGAGAGGAGACCUGGCCUCCCCUGGAUGUUUAUGAGCUGCAGAUCUUCAGGGAACAAAGGCUGUGGACAUGCCAUUGAUUUGGGACCAGUGUUUUUGAGUAUCCUUAAUUUUUGGUAUCAUCUGUGGCAGAUAGGCUGCUCUCCUUAAGUCAUGGCUUCCCGGUUGAAACAAGACAUGAGAUUAACCCACUUUUUUCAUUUCUAACCAAAGAGAAGGAAACUUUGUAAAGUCUUAAUAGAUUAAUAAAAACAAAAGCUUCUGUGGAACAUUUUGAGGCUUGGUAAGUUGAUUCUGACUAAAUCUAAGCUAUGAGUGUUGUGUCAGAGUUGGAAUUCCAUAAAAAGUAGGGAGCUCUGGGCUGAACACGCUGGGCUUUUCAUAGCAGCACUCCCAGUCAGAACCAUUUGAAAGGUACAGUUUUCUCCAUAAAAUUAGGUCCACAUAGAAUGUGGUUCUACUCCAUUUGUCUCAUUGUGUACGAAGUCCACUUAUCCUUAACUGUCAUCUCACCAAUCCUGAUUUCUCAUUUUACAGAAAAGAACCCAAAGCCCAAAGAGUUGUAACUUGAUUGAAAUCUCAAGUUUGAGAAGUUGCAGUAUAUCUGUACACACACCCUCUAUUCUACAUUGAGGCUCACAAGAUGGACAGAAGAUGGAAAAAUUUCUUACAUGAAUGAAGAAGCCAUCCCCAAAAGACAGCAAUUUAAGUAAGGGGAGAUUUGAGAAGAUUGAGAACUGUUAAAUGUGGGAGGAGGAACUAACAAUUUGCAAAACCAGAAACCAAAGCAAAAGUGAAUCGUACAAAUGACAUCAAAAAGGGAUAAGGCAGAUAUAUUUAAGUGAGCCAGUUUUAAAGAAGCGAAGCCUCUGAUAUGUCAGAACCAUGCUGUCUUCCAUGAGACUUCCUUUGUGAAGAGCAUCCAUUUAAAAGACUUUUAUGAAUACAUGGUUUCAAUCAAGUCCCCAGAGAACACAUUUGUCUUCUGAGCUGCUGGCAGUUUUGAGAAUCUGAUGACCUCCGAGGGGACCCUGCACUCAGCCAUCAAAGUGUUCCUGCCCCUCUGGACACUCAUAAUUCAAUGGUAGAUGCAGGUGGAGUUGAGAACAUCACCCAGCUUCCCCAGGAGCUUCCUCAGAUGAUGGCUGCAGCAGCCGAUGGUUUGGGGAGUAUAGCGAUAGACACGACCCAGCUCAACAUGUCCGUGACAGAUCCCACAGCCUGGGCUACAGCCAUGAAUAACCUGGGCAUGGUUCCCGUAGGGUUGCCUGGACAGCAGCUCGUGUCUGACUCAAUCUGUGUCCCAGGCUUUGAUCCAAGCCUCAACAUGAUGACUGGAAUCACCCCCAUUAACCCAAUGAUACCAGGCCUUGGACUGGUACCUCCCCCACCACCAACAGAAGUGGCUGUUGUCAAAGAAAUAAUCCACUGCAAAAGCUGUACUCUUUUUCCUCAAAAUCCAAAUCUUCCACCUCCUUCCACAAGAGAACGACCUCCUGGGUGUAAGACCGUGUUUGUCGGAGGAUUACCAGAAAAUGCUACUGAGGAAAUUAUUCAAGAAGUCUUUGAACAGUGCGGUGAUAUUACAGCAAUUCGGAAAAGCAAGAAGAAUUUUUGUCACAUUCGCUUUGCAGAGGAAUUCAUGGUUGAUAAAGCCAUUUACCUUUCUGGUUAUAGGAUGCGAUUAGGGUCUAGCACCGACAAAAAGGAUUCAGGCCGCCUUCAUGUGGACUUUGCCCAGGCCAGGGAUGACUUCUAUGAGUGGGAAUGCAAGCAGAGGAUGCGUGCCCGGGAGGAGCGGCACCGGCGCAAGCUGGAGGAGGACCGGCUCAGGCCCCCAUCCCCGCCUGCCAUAAUGCACUACUCGGAGCACGAAGCCGCUCUGCUGGCUGAAAAGCUGAAAGAUGAUAGCAAGUUUUCAGAGGCUAUCACAGUGCUGCUUUCCUGGAUUGAACGAGGGGAAGUGAAUCGGCGCUCUGCAAACCAGUUCUAUUCCAUGGUGCAGUCGGCCAACAGCCACGUCCGCCGGCUAAUGAAUGAAAAAGCCACCCAUGAGCAAGAGAUGGAGGAAGCCAAGGAGAAUUUUAAAAAUGCCUUAACUGGGAUUCUCACUCAAUUUGAGCAGAUUGUGGCCGUUUUCAACGCUUCUACCAGACAAAAAGCUUGGGACCAUUUCUCGAAAGCCCAGCGCAAGAACAUAGACAUUUGGCGAAAGCAUUCUGAGGAGCUCCGGAAUGCUCAAAGUGAGCAGCUCAUGGGCAUCCGCCGCGAAGAAGAAAUGGAAAUGUCUGAUGAUGAGAACUGUGACAGCCCUACAAAGAAAAUGAGAGUCGAUGAAUCAGGACUCCAAGACUAAUGCUGAGUUUGUCAAAGCAAGAUUUUGUGGCACUCGAACUCUGGGGAUAAAAAGAAGUGAUGAUGUGUCCAGUUGAAGAAUGUGAACUGAAGCCAUCUGAAUCACUGAAAUAUUGAGAAUUCCGAAAAUAAGUCCUUGGCUUCCUUCUGCGUUUCCUCUCCACUGUCGGGCCUUACUAAGCACUGCCAAGCUCACUAUGAUACUCUCUUUGGAAGAGAGGCUCAUCUGGGUGGAGAAUAGACAGGAACUGUUUGCUCAUCCGUCAGCAGUGAGAGAGGGAAGCAGGCAUGCCUGGCCACUCGCCAAGGAGAAAAGCCUCUGCGAAUCUAGAGACUGGUGUGGUAAGCAUGUGUACAUGGGAGGGGCCUCCUCUCCCACAGUGAAAAGGCUGUUCCCGGGGCCCGGUCAAGGGCAAUUAGUUCCAGAGGUUCAGCCUGGCCUCUCCUGGGUGCAAGCCACAAGCCUGCCAUAGCAGAAACUUUCUCCAGACAUAUGGCUGCAAAGAAAAGUAAUGCACAACAACAUCGAGCAGUUGAGGACAAUGUGUUUUGGAGACACUGCCUGUAGGAUUUACGCAAGCAUUCAGUCACAGUGUCAUUCCUGGAGAGGCAGGAGGUAGCAUUCAGCAAGGAGCAGGCCGAUAGGUUAAUGGAAUGUGAGAAGACAUGGCAGAGGCAGAGAAGCCCAGAAGGCUGUGUUGGGUUGUAAAAGCAGGAGAGAAGGUCCUUUCAGCUGUUGGAAAAGGCUGAAAGAAAGCAAAUAUGAAAAACUAAUGAAAGAAAUCUAAGACUAGAAGAAAGUCAUGAAGAAAGCAUUAGGAAGUGGGGACCUGGUCCCUAAAGGCCAGGGAGGUGGCUCUAAAAUGUUGGCAUGCAUCAGAAUCACCCUAGAAACUUGCUGAAAGGCACAUCCCUGGGCCCCAUUCCAGAAUCUCAGAUUCGUAACAUCUGGGAUGAGUCCCAGGUUUCUCAUUUAAGAGAUACCAAAGUGGUACAGAUACCUCAAGAUGCCAGCUACCUGUUCAUACUGGGUCCUCCCACCUUGGUUAUACAUUUAGAGAGGAUGCAGAUACUUUCUAUCCUAUUGCCAGACACAAGUAAGUGUUCAUAAGUCAAUUUCAAUGUUGGUAAUGAGAACAGUGGGGAGGAGGAGGCUCAGAGACAGCCCAAGCAGAGUCAUUGCCCAAGCAUAAAAGUGAAGUCUUGGUGCCCACUUACUAGUCUGGAUAGUUAGGGUUUACCUAAGGCGGAAGUAACUUUCAAAAAAAGUUUUCUGUUCAACCCAUUAUUGCAAGUAUUUGGCACUAUAAAAUAAAAACUUUACAAAAAAAGAUGCUACUCCUUGCAAAGAGCAAUGCAUAGAACUGAGAAGAUAUACUUUAGGUUUGAGCUGGCCAUCAUUUCACAUUUCAUAGUGUGGAUGUGUUUUAUAUGGUAGAAGCACCAAUUCAAAUACUAAUAUAACUGUGUGUGUGCGUGUGUGUGUUUCUAUGUAGAGGGUAGAGCAGGAGAGGGGAAAUACACUUCUUAAGGGGAAAGUUUCUUGAUGAAAAUUAGAAAUGACCACUUGUUAAAAAGGAAGGACAUUUGUAAGAUGGGAGGAAAAAGAGAUCACUGCUUUUAUACUGUAGAUUGGUGAGAAAAUGAGAGGAGUUGUUUUGGAGGGAAGGAUUGCUGUUUAAAGUUUCUGUCUUUGGCCAAGACCAACUACUGUCAGUUAGGAUGAAGUCACACAGAGCCAAGCCCAUGGUGGAGUACUACACCCAAGGGAGGUGCACUGUCUGCAGGGGAGGGGGUACAAUUCCUGAAAGCCAGUGUCAUUUUAUUGUCUAGCUUGGCUUAGCUAAGCCUGACUUUCCUAAAAAAGAAUCUUUAAAGCCUUUAGAAGAUUUUUUUUAAAUGGCCCUAUAAUCUUGGAAAUCAAAAUAGGGACUGAAAGUGAAAAAGAAAACUAAAAUCGAAUUAAAAGAAAAGGAAGAGUGGGGAAAAGUGCCCCCUCCUGAGAUGCUCCUGCCUGGCCUUGGGGCUCAGUAGGAAGCAGCCUGCUCGCCUCUCCAUAGCCAUGGCACAUCCUCCUGGAGAUCGCCGAAUCUUUUGGUAAAGCAGUGUCCACUGUGCAGCAGUCCCACUCUGCUUUCCUUCAGCUUUUCAAUGUGUGAGCUCAACCACUGCCUUCCAUAAAGAGCCUCCCCCAGCUCUUAUGUUCCAGCCAGAAGCCUUCUCUCCCUUAUUUGACUCCCACUACACAGUGUGAGGAUGGCCCCUCCUGGAGCCCUUCUAACCAGUUUCUACCAGGUUCCAUAUCUGUAGCUCUUCCUGCGGCUGGGCUGGGAGCUGCGCAGGCCAGGCUGGGCAGGGGCUGAGAGCUCUGCUUCCCUGCCCUGUCCCCGGCUUGGCUUAGAGUAGGGAGCUCAGCUCAUGCUUGCAGCGUUCACUUCUGAUGUGUUUCCCGGAGGACUCUAAAGGCAUCCUCACCUGACAGAGCAUCCUUCAACAGUGUUUUAAAUGACAGACUUAUCCUGCUUUUGCAAGAAGUGAACAUGUCUCUUUCCUUUGCUUAUUUUCCUCUGAGGAAAAUGGGGAUGGUUUUGGGUCGGAGCAGAGGAUAGUAAUGUAAAUGGAAAAGUGAUGAGGCAUGAUGUGAAGUCUCCAUAGUGGCAGCAGCCCAGCAGCACCUCCUAGUUCUGCUGCUGGUGCAGAGUACUUCCUCAGGAAGAGCUCUCUGGAGGAAGGAGCAGAGAAUUUUUUUUUCCUGAGUCACCUGCUGCCCAUUGUGCCUCCAGACUCACAUUUAAGCCAUCAUCGUAACAGGAUCUAGCUUACCCUGCACUCCCGAAAUUACCCUUAUUCCGCUGGCCUCACACAAAGAUGGAAAUAGACACUGCAUUGUGCUUCUGUUUAGCUUUCCCUAAUAAUAGCUAAUGUGCAGAUUCGAAUACACACUGCACAUAUGAAAUGUUAUGUCAAUGCUAAGUUGUAAUAAUAAUAAUCCUGCAAAAAUGUAGCAGAAGAAAUUUCCGUGAGCAAUUUGAGGAAGAUUGAUCAGUGGUGAUACAGGUAUUAUUGAAAAGCAGAUCAAUUGUACUUUGUUGGUACCAUAAGAGGCUCUCCAGCAGGAGACUGGCUGUUGGCAGAUGUCAUCCUAGGAUACUUUCCAGCUCUGUGCCUGGCCACUGGGAGGCACUGAUGGCAACAGCAGCCACUGAGAAUGAGGCUACCAAUGAUGAAGGACCCCAAGCCUCUGUUAAUCUUCUGACAUGGUACUGGUCCUUGUCUUUGGCCUUCAUUAGCCCAAGCAAAGUAGACUCAGGGGACAGAGUUCAUGGGAGGUCAGCAUAACGCAGAGGAGUUUCUGUCACCUUUAUUCUAACUGAAGGCACAGACACCUUAAAAAUCAAACAUAGGUGAGUUCAGAUGGAUGGGGUGAAUAGUCUCAUACUGGAUCUUUGGGAAUCCUGAGAUCAGCAUGGGUCUAUGGACAAAACUCUCUCAAUAAAGCAUUAUUAGCAACUCAGGCUCUUGAGCUCUGGGAUUAGUGGGUAUCAGUGUGGCCGUUUGAGAGGAGAGGGACACAGGGCAGAAAGUAGGAUCCCUAAGUGGUUCCAGCCAGGCCUCAAGAUUUCCUGAAGAGUGAGUUUAACUUCUCCAUAAAUCAUCCCCAAGUUUGUCCUGCAGAAAAUACCUGCAUGUUUAUUUUAAAACAGGAUCAUCCUCUCUGCUUUCAUAGCAGAGUCUCUCUCCAGCAGAACACUCCCCAGAUAGAGCCAGAAAUUGAAUGUUUUACUUCUGUUAGGAGCAAACUAGCCACUACAGUAGGGUCCCUGGUUUACUCCUUUCUCUGGGAUGGGCGGCACUUACAUGGAGCUAAGCUAGCCUGGUGGCAUUACAUGGAGGAAUAUAGUCCUAGAGCCACACCUUUUACCUCCAACCAGCAACCUCUGUCUCCCAUAAACUCACUUCCAUCAUCUGGAAAAUAGAAAUAAUAAUCAUAUUGACUGUAUCAUGUUUUCAUGAUGGUGAAAGGAUACUGUGUAAAGAAUAUGCUUACCUCAGUGCCUGGCACAUAAAAAUCAUUAGCUGUCACUACCACUGUUGCUAUUCCCAUUACUGCUACUGUUAUUUGAAGAAAGCAGAAUAGUGACUGUGCCUUUUGCCCAAAUCUUCCAUAGGAGAUAGCCAGGGCACGGGGCAAGCUGAGCUCAUGGGACCUGGGCACAGGGAUGCAACAGGGCUGCCUUCCCAGGUGCAGAACAUGGAGUCGGGGCUCAUACAAAAGGAGAUCAAGGAAUAAAACCAGAAUGACAA